GAUCCUGGCUAGAGAUGAACGCUAGCUACAGGCUUAACACAUGCAAGUCGAGGGGCAGCAUGGUCUUAGCUUGCUAAGGCCGAUGGCGACCGGCGCACGGGUGAGUAACACGUAUCCAACCUGCCGUCUACUCUUGGACAGCCUUCUGAAAGGAAGAUUAAUACAAGAUGGCAUCAUGAGUCCGCAUGUUCACAUGAUUAAAGGUAUUCCGGUAGACGAUGGGG
rnacentral:rRNA from 1 species